rnacentral:misc_RNA from 1 species
UCCGGUUUGUCACCGGCAGUUUCAUUAAAGUGCCCAACUGAAUGAUGGCAAUUAAUGACAAGGGUUGCGCUCGUUGCGGGACUUAACCCAACAUCUCACGACACGAGCUGACGACAGCCAUGCAGCACCUAUAUAGCGGUUCUUGCGAAAAGGGAUGUUUCCACCCCGGUCCACUACAUUUCGAGCCCAGGUAAGGUUCUUCGCGUUGCGUCGAAUUGAACCACAUGCUCCACCGCUUGUGCGGGCCCCCGUCAAUUCCUUUGAGUUUCAGCCUUGCGGCCGUACUCCCCAGGCGGGGCACUUAAUGCGUUAGCGCCGGCACUCAGAGGGUCGCUCCCCCAAGCACCUAGUGCCCAUCGUUUACGGCGUGGACUAC